AGCGAACGCUGGCGGCAGGCCUAACACAUGCAAGUCGAACGGACCCUUCGGGGUUAGUGGCGGACGGGUGAGUAACACGUGGGAACGUGCCUUUAGGUUCGGAAUAGCUCCUGGAAACGGGUGGUAAUGCCGAAUGUGCCCUUCGGGGGAAAGAUUUAUCGCCUUUAGAGCGGCCCGCGUCUGAUUAGCUAGUUGGUGAGGUAAUGGCUCACCAAGGCGACGAUCAGUAGCUGGUCUGAGAGGAUGACCAGCCACAUCGGGACUGAGACACGGCCCAAACUCCUACGGGAGGCAGCAGUGGGGAAUCUUGCGCAAUGGGCGAAAGCCUGACGCAGCCAUGCCGCGUGGAUGAUGAAGGUCUUAGGAUUGUAAAAUCCUUUCACCGGUGAAGAUAAUGACUGUAGCCGGAGAAGAAGUCCCGGCUAACUUCGUGCCAGCCGCCGCCGUAAGAC
rnacentral:rRNA from 1 species